rnacentral:tRNA from 1 species
ACCUGGCUGGCUCAGUUGGUAAAGUAUGCAACUUUUGAUCUCAGGGUUGUGGGUUCAAGCCCCAAGCUGGGUG